rnacentral:rRNA from 1 species
GUCGAGAAUCUUUCGCAAUGGGCGAAAGCCUGACGAAGCGACGCCGUGUGAGCGAAGAAGGCCUUCGGGUUGUAAAGUUCUUUCGCUAGGGAACAAGAAAGGGAAGCAAAUAGUUUCCCGAUUUGAGGGUACCUGGUAAAGAAGCACCGGCUAACUCCGUGCCAGCAGCUGCGGUAAUACGGAGGGUGCAAGCAUUAAUCGGAAUUAUUGGGCGUAAAGGGCGCGUAGGCGGAUUUGUAAGUCAGAUGUGAAAUACCGAGGCUUAACCUCGGUGCUGCAUUUGAAACUACAAGUCUUGAGGGUAGACGGAGAAAACGGAAUUCCACAUGUAGCGGUGAAAUGCGUGGAUAUGUGGAAGAACACCUGUGGCGAAAGCGGUUUUCUAGUUUAUUCCUGACGCUGAGGCGCGAGAGCAAGGGGAGCAAACAGG